CUGAGCACCAUGAUAUCGAGUCGGAAAACUGAUUUGCAAUGCUCCAACGAAGACUCAAGAAGGCCAAGGUGUCGAGGAAUAAGGUGCAGUGAUAGUAUUAUCCUUAUCGAAUACAAUUAUACAACACAAAUGUAUGUGCUGCAAUUGACGGGCAUUGUAAACUUGUGAAGCAUAGCUUUGCAGGAUACGUUUUUAGAAGUCAAGCCUAUGCAUAUGAACGUAAAAUGUUAAAUACAUUUUUCCACCAGUGUCUUAAGCAAAUUUUAGAUACAUAUUGAGAUGUCUAUAAUUGACAGAGGCUUGGAGCUUGUGAAAGUCACAUUCUCCAUUGAUUGAAUACCAUAAACCACAAUUUUAUUCAACAAGUUAAAAAAACAUCAAUUUUUCAUUCAAUUGAAUAACAUCCGCAAAAUAACCCAAAAUUCAAACCUUUCCCAACAAUUGAAAAGAGUCGGUUUUAUUUUCAGAAGUCAAGCCUACAAAGAUAAGCAUGUUCAUUAACUUCAUUAACAUCCUCCAUUUAUGACAAACCUAUCAAAACCUCAGAAAACCAUAAUAUUCCUGAACACCAAUCCCGCCCACCGUUGAAACAAUUUCACCAAACCCAAAUCAAAAGAACCAAAUUUUAGCCAACAACUAAUCAAAAUAACAUCGCACAAACCCCAUAAAGUUGCACCAAUUCCUACAGCCUGAAUCAAAAUUCCACUGUUUAACACACAGUGCUUUGGAACUGUGUGUAAAUAAUUUAAAAUAAGAAAAAGUCCCAAUCUUUUUAUACUCACAAAAUUUAAACAAAAUGCAAUCCCUAACAAAGAUUUUAGAGAAUAGAAAGGCCAAUUCCACCCAAUACAAAUUACGAAAAUUACAAAAUAAUUCAAAUGCAGGCAAUUUGAUCGAAAUCUGCAGAGCAAAAAACCCUAAAACGACAGAAAGAAAAACCCAAAAUAAAAUGAAGAACAAAAAAUCACUAAUCACAUAACCCAAAAUUAAUAAAAAAAUAGAAAAAACCAUUAUGAAAGAAAUACCGAAAUAAAUAAUCAGUGAGGGGUAAGGAUGAAGUUGAGGAGGAAACAUCGAACCUUGAGAACUGAUCUUCUGGGUAGCGAAUCGAGGAGCAGA
rnacentral:lncRNA from 1 species